CAGUAGCCACGGGAACACGAAGGGGGCUAGCGUUGCUCGGAAUGACUGGGCGUAAAGGGCGCGUAGGCGGAUUGCGCAGUCAGAUGUGAAAUUCCUGGGCUUAACCUGGGGGCUGCAUUUGAGACGCGUAGUCUAGAGUGUGAAAGAGGGUCGUGGAAUUCCCAGUGUAGAGGUGAAAUUCGUAGAUAUUGGGAAGAACACCGGUGGCGAAGGCGGCGACCUGGUUCAUGACUGACGCUGAGGCGCGAAAGCGUGGGGAGCAAACAGGAUUAGAUACCCGCGUAGUCCCUGUCUCUUAUAC
rnacentral:rRNA from 1 species